rnacentral:rRNA from 1 species
AACGAACGCUGGCGGCAUGCCUAACACAUGCAAGUCGAACGAAGUCUUCGGACUUAGUGGCGCACGGGUGCGUAACGCGUGGGAAUCUGCCCUUGGGUACGGAAUAACAGUGAGAAAUUACUGCUAAUACCGUAUGAUGUCGUAAGACCAAAGAUUUAUCGCCCAAGGAUGAGCCCGCGUAGGAUUAGCUAGUUGGUGAGGUAAAGGCUCACCAAGGCGACGAUCCUUAGCUGGUCUGAGAGGAUGAUCAGCCACACUGGGACUGAGACACGGCCCAGACUCCUACGGGAGGCAGCAGUGGGGAAUAUUGGACAAUGGGCGAAAGCCUGAUCCAGCAAUGCCGCGUGAGUGAUGAAGGCCCUAGGGUUGUAAAGCUCUUUUACCCGGGAAGAUAAUGACUGUACCGGGAGAAUAAGCCCCGGCUAACUCCGUGCCAGCCGCCGCAGUAA